rnacentral:lncRNA from 10 species
GGGUGAGCUAGUCCAAGAGCGUGACAAUGUGGUGGCAGCCCGGAAACGAGUUGUUCGGUGAAAAGAGCAUUUGUUUCCUAUGGGGACCGUCAACAAGAAGCCUCGUGCAUUUUCAUGAGAUUUGGGUUUCUGAUGUGAGUUGUUUCCCAAGCACAUUUUCUUUAGACAUCUACAAAUGUAAGGGCGUGUUCCUCAUUAACUGGCCGGGGAUCGACGAACUCUUCCAGAGGUGAAACUUUUAGUGAAAUUCAGUUGAGUUCUCGUAAUUCCAGAGGUCAGCUGUCAUAAGGCCGUGAGUGCCUGCUGCGGGCCUGUCCUGAUUCUCUGGUCAGGAAUGAGAUUUCUCAUCCUCCUCUCAAUUCAGGGUUGCGCUGGGCCUCUCAGCAGACCGUGGGAGUGCCCUGCCCUGCACCGUGUUGGUUCUGCCCUGAGUUUUCCUUUUCCUGUAGAGCACGAGCUCCUCCACACUCAGACGGCACUCAGGAGUCACUGUGCUUCCCGUGGAGUAGACGCUCAGUCACCACUUACAGGAAUAUCUUACAAGAUCUUCCACUUUUCCAUUUAUUUCUGAUCUAAAAAAAAAAUGGGUGGAAAACUGGUUCAUGGUGUAGUUGACAGAAAAUAUGCUAUCUGUCAUGUUCAUAUAGGCCAUCCUCCAGUGAUUUACGUUAUAAGGUUCUAUCACCUAAAUAAGGUCACUCCUGUUGGGAGAUUAUGUGGGCAGUUCAGGUCAGCAGCGGGAGGCUGCUCCAUAACCCUGGAGCUACCACAGGAGGAUGAGAGGCUGAUAAGUUACCCCCACAGGAAAGAGAGUUGCUCACUGGAACUCCCACAAAUGGAAUUUGGAAAACAGAUUAAGGCACAGGUCAUCAUUUGGGGCCUCAGUGGGGACCUGUGAGCCACCUCCCUGUGGCUUCCUGCUUCACAUGGAGACUCAGAAAUCUGCCUGAGGGUGACAGCCUAGAUGCUGAUGCUGGCCUGCAAGUCUGAGUAUUCUAGAGCCUCAGAGGCUGGGGCAAUCGCCUUUCGUCUCAGAUUACAAGCUUUGUCUUUCUAAUUUAAAGGGUUAGGGUGGCAGCAGGAGGGCCUAGGCAGGCCUGUUCUCAUUGCCACCUGCAGUGUGUCCCUAGGGCUCCCACUGGGGAAUUAAGUGCUUGUGGAGUUUUUCUUUUCAGCCCUUGACAACUGCUCGGUAAGAGUCAUGAGAGGAGAGAUCUCACAUUCACCCUGAGUGGACUUUUGAUCCAUUUUAUUUUCAGCUUGGUCCUAGAGUCAGGCACACACCUUGGAGGCCUGUGUUCUUGUGUUCUGCACCUGAGGCGGCUGAGGAAAGCAUAUGGUUUCAAGGGCCCUUUGCAUGCACUAUUCAAUUUGCUAAAGACUCUUAGGUUUUCAAAAACAUCCUCUUAGAAAGGAAGUCUUCCCAGAACCUUGCUAUUCUGUUUGAAUUCUUUCUGCUGAGCAUUCCCUGACUGUCAAUUGAUACUUAUCAAACGUCCGGAUGGCGCUGGCCUGGCCGAGCUGCCUGUCUCUUGCUGGAAGCCGGGCUCUGUGAGGGCGCUGCCACAUCGUCUGGCACUGUGCCUGCCAGAGUGUGAGUUCCACAAAUGGAUGAAAGCUGAAUGUGUCACACCAAAGAGAACUCCUUGCAGAGCCUGGCCGACCUCGCCGACUCAAGCCUCACCUCUGCCACAUCCUGAAUUCCGACUCUGCACAGGUCACCUAAUUUAAUCUCGGCUUCCUCAUCUGCAAAACAGAGAUCUUGGGCUGUGAUAGGGAUCAGCUUUGUGUCUCUGUAAAUCCCGGUGGUGCAUGGGGCCGGCCACGGGCCAUCGUCAAGGCUGGCUCUUAUCACUGUGACCAAGCUGUGCAUCCUGGGACAUCCUCCGUGUUCAUGCUGAGCCGGGAUUGGAACUCAGAGCUCAUGUCUGCUGUGUACACCCACCAUGCAGGCCCCCAAAGCACCCUCCUCAUGAGGGGGCCUGCUUCUGCGGGAUCCUGAAGUGAAACUGGGGUGCACAGAAGAAUUUUGGUUGACUGCAAUUCAAUGAACAUUCUGAGAAGCAGAAUGUUUUGAAGGCCUAAGGGUUGCCAGUGAAAAAAAAUGCAUUUUUUGCUAUUAUUGAAAAUUUUUAUAAACUGCACAUGACUACGGUAAACUGGCUCACAUAAAGCAGUACUUGUCAUCUGCUAGGCUGGAUGUGAUGGGCGCACUGUUGAAUUUAGUCUUCAUGGAAUUUCUUCUUUUUAUUUUUACAGGAAAACCAAGACCUGAAGAGGUUAAGUAACUUGUCUAAUGUCAUGUAUGGCACCGAUGGUGAUCUCAUGGAAGAGGAGUGUCAUCUCUGCGUGGGAUGCACCACCCAGACACGGCCACCGAGCAUCUGCGUGGGAUGCACCACCCCAGAAAGGGCCACCGAGCAUCUGCGUGGGAUGCAUCACCCCAGAAAGGGCCACUGAGCAUCUGCAUGGAAUGCACCGCCCCAGAAAAGGCCACUGAGCGUCUGCAUGGGAUGCACCACCCAGACAGGGCCACCGAGUGAAGAGGAGUGUCAUUUCUGCAUGGGAUGCACCACCCCAGACAGGACCACCGAGCACACACAUUGGGCGGUUGCUCAGGGUCACCCACCGAGGGGCAGAAUAGAGCCUGGAGCCGCUGUUUGCUCCCAGCCACAGACACCGGGCAAUGCCGCCUCUCACACUGUCCUGAAAGUGGAUGGGUGGCUGUCAGACUUCAGUGGAUCUAUCCUCCCACUCCCCGACAUAAGCAAAACUUCCUCCCCUCCAUGCUUCCUCAGCUCUAACAGUUCUCAGCAUCCUCUCAGCUGUGCAAACUGAAAACUGCUUGUCAUUCUCAGGUUAAAAUGCAUCCACCAUUCCUGUGACACCUGCCGCCAAUAUUCUAGGUCAUCGUCUCAUCUUUUAUCCAUCUCCACAGCCACCCUUUGCCUAAACCACCAUUGCCACUGUCUGACUGAGCCCUCUAGGGAGUGUCCACCGUCUGGCCGAGCCUUCCCCUGGACACUUCCUCUCUCUCUUCCUUCUCACUGUGUCUUGCCACAGCCCUUGUCCCUUAGUGCCUGGAAGCUGCUCAAAAGCACAAACCAGGCCAUGUUGCUUUUCUGCUUAAAGCACUUGAAGGCUUUAUUUUUACCUUAAAUUAGACCUAAAGUUCUCUUCCUAACUUACAAAGCCCCAAGUCAUUUUCUUGUUUCCUUUUUUUUAUUUUUAUAUUUUUUCUUUUUUUAAUUAUACUUUAAGUUCUAGGGUACAUGUGUACAAUGUGCAGGUUAGUUACAUAUGUAUACAUGUGCCAUGUUGGUGUGCUGCACCCAUUAACCCAUCAUUUACAAUAGGUAUAUCUCCUAAUGCUAUCCCCCCCCCUCCCCCCACCCCACAACAGGCCCCGGUGUGUGAUGUUCCCCUUCCUGUGUCCAUGUGUUCUCAUUGUUCAAUUCCCAUCUAUGAGUGGGAACAUGCGGUGUUUGGUUUUUUGUCCUUGCGAUAGUCUGCUGAGAAUGAUGGUUUCCAGCUUCAUCCAUGUCCCUACAAAGAACAUGAACUCAUCCUUUUAUAUGGCUGCAUAGUAUUCCAUGGUGUAUAUGUGCCACAUUUUCUUAAUCCAGUCUAUCAUUGAUGGACAUUUGGGUUGGUUCCAAGUCUUUGCUACUGUGAAUAAUGCCACAAUAAACAUACGUGUGCAUGUGUCUUUAUAGCAGCAUGAUUUAUAAUCCUCUGGGUAUAUACCCAGUAAUGGGAUGGCUGGAUCAAAUGGUGUUUCUAGUUCUAGAUCCUUGAGGAAUCACCACACUGAACACCAUGUACAGCCACAGACCCCUUCUGCCUGCUCCUGCCCCAUUCCUGAGUCUGGGAUGUGUGAGGUACCUUGGUGGAAGGCACAGAGGAUUUAGAGAGAAGAUGAGCACAACAAUUGCAUCCAAAUAUGAUUUGUGACGUGGGAGAGGGUCAGACUGUGCUGACCUGGAAGGGGAGCAGAUGAGUUUUAGUUGGGAAAGGCCGAGUUUAGGAAGGAGGCUGUAUAGGGAGAGGGAAUAGAAAUAAUUCAAAAUUGAGGACAGAAAGAGUAUGGCAUGAGGGCAGGGCUGUCAGCACACCCAGGAUUUGUCCAAGAAGCCAUGAGCUGUCCAGUUGGGAAAGUCCACUUUGUAUGGGAAGGGGA